AUGGCAAGAAAAAGUUAUAUACAACCUCAACUCAUAUGGGAGCAUAUUAAUUAGGGGAGGAAAAGAAACUAACAAGGAUUUUCUUAGUAGCGGCGAGCGAAAAGAAAACAGUUUAGCACUAAGUCACUUUGUCUAUAUGGCAAAUGUGAGAUGCAGUGUAUGGAGCGUCAAUAUUCUAGUAUGAGAAAUUAACGAUUUAAUUAACGUAUAAAGUUAAUGAUUCUAGAUGAUAUUUCCAAAGAGUCGUGUUGCUUGAAAGUGCAGCACUAAGUGGGUGGUAAACUCCAUCUAAAACUAAAUAUAGCCAUGAGACCGAUAGUAAAGAAGUACCGUGAGGGAAAGUUGAAGAGAACUCUGAAUAGAUAGUUAAACAGUACGUGAAACUGCUUAGAGGUUAAGCCCGAUGAACCUGAAUACGAUGAAUAUAUGAUGAAUAUGGAAAAUUCAUCAAUAAAAUUGUAAUAUUUAAAUAUAUUAUGAGGAUAGUGUGCAUUUUUUCCAUAUAAGGACACUGUAAUCUAUUAGCAUAUACCAAAUGAUUAGCAUUGAUUUUUGUGUUUAUUAUAUGCACUUGUAUGAUUAACAAUGCGAAAGAUUCAGGAUACAUUCGGGACCCGUCUUGAAACUCGGACCAAGGAGUCUAACAUAUGUGCAAGUUAUUAGGAUAUAAACCUAAUAGCGUAAUUAAUGGGAUUAGUUUUCUAACUAUUUAUAGCUAAUUAACACAAUCCCGGGGCGUUCUAUAUAGUUAUGUAUAAUGUAUAUUUAUAUUAUUUAUGCCUCUAACUGGAACGUACCUUGAGCAUAUAUGCUGUGACCCGAAAGAUGGUGAACUAUACUUGAUCAGGUUGAAGUCACGGGAAACCCUGAUGGAAGACCGAGACAGUUCUGACGUGCAAAUCGAUUGUCAGAAUUGAGUAUAGGGGCGAAAGACCAAUCGAACCAUCUAGUAGCUGGUUCCUUCCGAAGUUUUCCUCAGGAUAGCUGGUGCAUUUUAAUAUUAUAUAAAAUAAUCUUAUCUGGUAAAGCGAAUGAUUAGAGGCCUUAGGGUCGAAACGAUCUUAACCUAUUCUCAAACUUUAAAUGGGUAAGAACCUUAACUUUCUUGAUAUAAAGUUCAAGGUUAUGAUAUAAUGUGCCCAGUGGGCCACUUUUGGUAAGCAGAACUGGCGCUGUGGGAUGAACCAAACGUAAUGUUACGGUGCCCAAAUUAACAACUCAUGCAGAUACCAUGAAAGGCGUUGGUUGCUUAAAACAGCAGGACGGUGAUCAUGGAAGUCGAAAUCCGCUAAGGAGUGUGUAACAAAUCACCUGCCGAAGCAACUAGCCCUUAAAAUGGUUGGCGCUUAAGUUGUAUACCUAUACAUUACCGCUAAAUUAGAUGAUUUAUAUUACUUGUGAUAUAAAUUUUGAAACUUUAGUGAGUAGGAAGGUACAAUGGUAGGCGUAUAAGUGUUUGGCGUAAGCCUGCAUGGAGCUGCCAUUGGUACAGAUCUUGGUGGUAGUAGCAAAUAAUCGAAUGAGACCUUGGAGGACUGAAGUGGAGAAGGGUAAAACAAAAAUGGCAAAUUAUAUAAACAAAGCGAAAAUAAUACACUUGAAUAAUUUUGAACGAAAGGGAAUAUGGUUCCAAUUCCGUAACCUGUUGAGUAUCCGUUUGUUAUUAAAUAUGGGCCUCGUGCUCAUCCUGGCAACAGGAACGACCAUAAAGAAGCCGUCGAGAGAUAUCGGAAGAGUUUUCUUUUCUGUUUUAUAGCCGUACUACCAUGGAAGUCUUUCGCAGAGAGAUAUGGAAGAUGGGCUAGAAGAGCAUGACAUAUACUGUUGUGUCGAUAUUUUCUCCUCGGACCUUGAAAAUUUAUGGUGGGGACACGCAAACUUCUCAACAGGCCGUACCAAUAUCCGCAGCUGGUCUCCAAGGUGAAGAGUCUAUGUCGAUAGAAUAAAGUAGGUAAGGGAAGUCGGCAAAUUAGUUACUUCUUCCCCGGAUAGUUUAGUUACGUAGCCAAUUGUGGAGCUUUCUUGCUAAAAUUUGUAAGAAUACUAUUAGGGUUAAACCAAUUAGUUCUUAUUAAUUAUAACGAUUAUCAAUUAACAAUCAAUUCGGAACUGGCACGGACUCCGACUGUCUAAUUAAAACAAAGCAUUGUGAUGGCAUUGUGAUAGCGGGUGUUGACACAAUAUGAUUUCUGCCCUGAAUGUCAAAGUGAAGAAAUUCAAGUAAGCGCGGGUCAACGGCUGGAGUAACUAUGACUCUCUUAAGGUAGCCAAAUGCCUCGUCAUCUAAUUAGUGACGCGCAUGAAUGGAUUAACGAGAUUCCUACUGUCCCUAUCUACUUACUGUAAGUGGUGGACGUGUUUUCUACGAGCUCCCAUUAAUACGGGUAUUUUUGGUGUAAAUCCGCGUUAUGACACCGCCGCACAGGUAGCUGCGAGGAGGCGAAUGUCCUCCUGCCAUAGACUGAUCCUGCUUGGAUGUCUAUCGGUAUGCUGAACAGUGUCCACCGCGGCACUGCAGGUUCUUGCUGGAGCCCCCCCCCCCCCCCCCCCCGCUUGACUUGGCCGCUAAGAAAUUAGCGGUCAAAUACAAGUUGAAGCGUGGAUACCCGCUCCCGGACGUCAACCUUGUCUAUCGGGAUCCAAAUUUUGGUUUCUCGAUGAUGGCUUGUCGUAGGAGGCGACUAAUGCGGCAAUAGGUCACUCCGCCCGUGCUUGUCGGCUAGGUAGAUCUCGCUCCUCAGCAAGGGGGAGUGCUUGCCCGGCAAGCAAGCACUCGAAUUGCUACCGGGGUGGUUGCUAUGUACUAUGGCUUCCAGACCGGGACGUUUUGUCUAGCGUAUCUGGAUACAUGCAUCAUAUGCUCACUUGUGGGUGUAUAGGGUGCCGUGGUUGUAAUCCCUUCCCACGUAAAACAAGUUCGGAGGGAUCCAAUUCAUACACUGUCCCUAUCUACUAUCUAGCGAAACCACAGCCAAGGGAACGGGCUUGGAAUAAUUAGCGGGGAAAGAAGACCCUUUUGAGCUUGACUCUAAUCUGGUAGUGUAAGGAGACAUAAGAGGUGUAGAAUAAGUGGGAGAUAUUAGACCUCGGUUUGGUAUCGUCAAUGAAACACCACUACUCUUAUUUUUUCCUUACUUACUUGAUUAAAUGGAAUAUCAUUUCCUAGCCAUUAUACGGAUAUAUUUAUUAUAUCUUAUGGUAUUGGCUUUUGAUGCAUGCUUCUUGAUCAAAGUAUCACGAGUUUGUUAUAUAAUCGCAAACAAAUUCUUUAAUAAAACGAUGCAUUUAUGCAUUUUUGAUUUGAAAAUUUGGUAUAACUCUAAUUACUCAGGUAUGAUCCAAUUCAAGGACAUUGCCAGGUAGGGAGUUUGACUGGGGCGGUACAUCUCUCAAAUAAUAACGGAGGUGUCCCAAGGCCAGCUCAGUGCGGACAGAAACCACACAUAGAGCAAAAGGGCAAAUUCUGACUUGAUCUCGGUGUUUAGUACACACAGGGACAGCAAAAGCUCGGCCUAUCGAUCUUUUUGGCUUAAAAAGUUUUUAGCAAGAGGUGUCAGAAAAGUUACCAUAGGGAUAACUGGCUUGUGAUCAUUGUGAAGCAAAAUUCCCCAAGCGUUGGAUUGUUCACCCAUGCAAGGGAACGUGAGCUGGGUUUAGACCGUCGUGAGACAGGUUAGUUUUACCCUACUAAUGACAAAACGUUGUUGCGACAGCAUUCCUGCGUAGUACGAGAGGAACCGCAGGUACGGACCAAUGGCACAAUACUUGUUCGAGCGAACAGUGGUACGACGCUACGUCCUUUGGAUUAUGCCUGAACGCCUCUAAGGUCGUAUCUGUGCUGGACUGCAAUGAUAAAUAAGGGGCAAUUUGCAUUGUAUGGCUUCUAAACCAUUUAAAGUUUAUAAUUUACUUUAUAAACGGCAAUGGAUGUGAUGCCAAUGUAAUUUGUAACAUAGUAAAUUGGGAGGAUCUUCGAUCACCUGAUGCCGCGCUAGUUACAUAUAAAAGCAUUAUUUAGUACAAUGACAAAGCCUAGAAUCAAUUGUAAACGAAUUGCUUUUGUAACAGGCAAGGUGUUGUAAGUGGUUGAGCAGCUGCCAUACUGCGACCCACUGAAGCUUAUCCUUUGCUUGAUGAUUCGA